AAAUUUGACAUCGUUUUGAUUAUUUUUACAUGUAUAAUAAUAUCAAUUAAAAUAUACGUUUAGGUUAUUUCAAUCUGAUUUAUCAAAUAUGGAUGUGUCUCUGAUAAAGAAUAACAGACCAAACUUUUGCAAGUAAAUCAUAAGGCAAAAGUGGGAUUACACAACAAUUCUCAGUUAUUAACGAACUCAUAGAUUCAUUUCAAACGACUUGAAAUGUGAAAUAUUCCAAACUUUCAUCUCUCACUCACUAGUAUCAUUCUUCAUAUUCAUCUUCAUAGCCUAAGUGUAGAUACCAUUAGGACCUAGAUGAAAGAGAAAACUGGAAUUAGUUAAGAGUAGGUAGCAAAACAAGUACUAUCAUAUUCCAAACAAGUUCAUUUCUUGGACACUCCAUUUUUCCAAAAUGGAUAAUGAGGUAGUUAAAAGAUUAUCUCUCUCUUUCAUAUUAAGUGUCAUUUUAGUUUUCUUUUUCUUGUUACAAAAAAAUGUCAUUUUAGAAUUUCAAUGCAAUUUUCAGCUUAAAAUUAAUUACAAAUACAUUGAUUUUAUAAAUAAUUUCAUUUAUAUCAAAUGUUAUUGGUUGAAUAUGUGUAAUUAAUAAGAACUUUAAUGCAUUUCAAUCAUUUUUUUAAUCUGUGUGAAAAAUGUCAAAGUCAUUUUUUACGAAACGGAAGGAGUAAUAAUUUGGUUAAAAGAUAAUGUAAUGACUUUUAUAAGUUACGCAAUUAGACAAUAUAAUUUGCUUAUAAGCUAAGAGUUUGUCAAAGAUUAUUAAAAGUAAAAAAAAAUGUUUUUAAGAACAGAGACUCCAUUUAAUGGAUCAAAUGAAAGGUUAGAUACAUUCAAUAGUUAAAGCAAGCUCGAUAAAACGAGAAUAAGUUUGGUCAAACUGUUUUUUAGAAAUCAGAACAUAAUCGAAACCAUAUACAGUAUAAUGUAAAUUCUUUCGAACAUUUAAAUAUUCCGUUAUAAAUAAAUGAUCCUAACUAUAACCAUAAAAAUAACCUAUGAAUCAUGAUCAUUUUAUCCUCUAUGUUUUUAUACUUGCAUUUGAAUAUUUAUGUUUUACUAUAAAGAAAUGGGAGAGUUCAUGGGUAAAGGAGGCUUCUACGGGAACGUCUUCAGAAUCAUUCCUCUCAUAAUCACUCGUAUGUUAAAAUCUUCUCUUUUAUCUUGUGUGUUUUUAGUCAUCGGGGGUGUGAGAGGAAAAGUAUUGAUGCUAGUCGCUAGAAGUUGAAUUUGUCAGACCUUGACUUAAAAACUCUUUCCCGAAUGGAGACUCUCCAAUUAAUGGAUCAAAUGAAAGGUCAGUUAGAUACAUUCAAUAGUCAAAUAAAGGCUGAUCAAUAAUAAAAACGAAGAAAAGAGUUUUGUCAAAAUUGUAUAGAAAAAAAAAAACUUAACCAAAACCAUAAUGUAAACUCUCCUUCAAACUUUUUAAUGUAUAUUCCAUCAUAAACGAACUGAUCCGAACUACAACCGUAAAAACCAAUCCACAGUAGAUUUUGUUGAAUUUGAUCACUCAUGAAUCAUGAUCAUCUGAUUCUCUAAGUGGUUAUACAUGUAUUUUUAUAUGGGUAUUUUGCUAUAAAUGAUACAAUUCGGUUUUAGUUCUCAAAUGUAUCACGUAAUUUACAAUAGGUAAGUCGAUAUGUUUGUUUUUGAGUGGUAUAUACACAAUAACAUACAUAUGAUGAUAAUAGUGAAAUUUCAAAGAAAAAACUGUGGGGCGAAGGUGAUACGGUUGGUCAUCGAAGGCGAGGAGGUGGUGGAAGUUGGGGCGGAGAAAGAAGGCGACGUCCGGAGAGCUAUCGUGAUCGCUGAGGCUAGACUCAUCAGCACGCAAAUGAGCUCUUCAAGUAUGCUCAGCGUCUUCCUCAUCAUCGAAAUUCUGUGUGUUUCUCAAACUGAGAUUCAGAAGUUUAUAAGAGAGAGAGAGAGAGAGAGAGAGGUGUGAUCUCUUCAGCUGACUUUUGAUUUGGCCUUUGAUUUUAUUCAAACAUAUGAACAGUUCGCUUUAUGUCUUGGCCUUUGAUUUUAUUCAAACAUAUGAACAGUUCGCUUUAUGUUCAUGCCCUUAAAUGAUUAUUUAAUGGGACAAUUGCAAAUUAAACCAAGUAGCUGAACGAUGCAAUCACGGGUAAAAAAAAAAGCCACAACACACAGUCAACAAGUCAAGGUUGAAAGAGUUUAUGGAUUUAAUUAUAGACAACUCGCGUAAUGACGUAACUACUUAGCUCAUGAAAACACAUUCAUGAAUCAUGUAGUAGUAACUCUGUCUCGUUACUAUGUACUGAAACUACAAGUCACACAGAAAUUAUAUUAAAACUCGGAUGUAAGGAUCAUACACUCGCAGGGCCGGCCCUGAGAUUUACGGGGCCGUAGGCGGUUUUUAAAAAAUUUCAGCUAAAAAUUUCUUUUAGUAAAUUUGGAGGCCUAAAAAAAAAUUUUAGGAGCUUUUUUCUAUGUAAUUUUUUCCAAAAUUUUAAGGGUCUAAGGCCAGUGUUUCGUUAGGUUUUGCCCAGGACCGGCCCUGUACACUAGUAAUUAGACCAGGUUUGUCAUGCUCGGUCUACUUGAACUUUUUAAAUCUUUGCAAAAGUUCAUUCAAAUUUUAAAAUUUAUAUAUUUUAUUUUAAAUUAUACAUUAAUCUUACAUUUACUCUCAUAGGCCGUUUAAUUCUGUAAUUAAUGUAAUUAAUCUCGAGAGGGUAAAACUAUAAGGGAACGGAAAGAUUACGCGCCUCAGCGUGCGUCUCAAUCGCCGUCAUCGUUCCACGUCCUUAGGGUUUCUCCGAGGGGGUGAGUUGUGUCGAGCUGGAUUCUCUGCUCCUGCGCCGCCGUUGAUUGAUCUGGCUUCCCAAUUUAUCUCCGAUUCUCUCCCAAUAAGAACGAUUAAGCUAGGACUGGAGUGAUUAGCUUGUGGAUUAGUGGUUUAGCUAUGAAAACAGGAUGUGUAGCUCUGGUUUUGUGUUUGAACAUUACUGUUGAUCCGCCCGAUGUUAUAAAUAUAUCUCCGUGUGCUAGAAUCGAGGCUUGGAUAGGUUGAACCAUUUUCCCAACCCAACCCUAUUGCAUUCUUUCUUUUGUGUGUUUAUCUUUUUUUUUCCCAAUUUGUUUCAUGUGUAAAGAAAUGGUAAAGGUCAUGGUGGGAAAAAAAAGUUAGCAUUCAUUGAUAUUAUCACAAAGGAUAGUACAUUAAAAAAGUUGUGUGAUGUUUUCACUUGUAUGUUGUUUUUUGUUCAAGUUAAUCUCAAUCAGUUUGCAUUUUCAUC